rnacentral:rRNA from 1 species
GACGAACGCUGGCUGCAUGCCUAACACAUGCAAGUCGAACGGGACCUUCGGGUUUACUGGCGCUCGUGUGCGGAACGCGUGGGAACCUGCCGUUAGGUUUGGAAUACCUCCCCUAAAGGGCUGCUAAGACCGGAUAAUGUCUGCGGACCAAAGAUUUAUCGCCUUUGGGCGGGACCUCGUUGGCUUAGCUAGUUGGUAGCGUAAUAGCCUACCCAGGCGACUAUCCAUAGCUGCUCUGAGAGGAUGAUCAUCCACACUGGUACUGAGACACGGCCCACACUCCUACGCGAGGCAGAAGUGGGUAAUAUUGGACAAUGGGCGAAAGCAUGAUCCAGCAAUGCCGCGUGAGUGAUGAAGGCCUUAGGGUUGUAAAGCUCUUUCACACGGGAUGAUAAUGACAGUACCGGGAGAAUAAGCCCCGGCUAAAUCCGUG